CCUACGGGUGGCUGCAGUGGGGAAUAUUGGGCAAUGGGCGCAAGCCUGACCCAGCAACGCCGCGUGAAGGAAGAAGGCUUUCGGGUCGUAAACUUCUUUUAAGGGGGAAGAGCAGAAGACGGUAUCCCUUGUAUAAGCCACGGCUAACUACGGGCCAGCAGCCGCGGUAAUACGUAGGUGGCAAGCGUUGUCCGGCUUUACUGGGUGUAAAGGGCGUGUAGGCGGGGAGGCAAGUCAGAUGUGAAAGCCACGGGCUCAACCCGUGAACUGCAUUUGAAACUGUUUCCCUUGAGUGUAGGAGAGGUAAUCGGAAUUCCUUGUGGAGCGGUGAAAUGCGUAGAUAUAAGGAAGAACACCAGUGGCGAAGGCGGAUUACUGGACUGUAACUGACGGUGAGGCGCGAAAGCGUGGGGAGCAAACAGGAUUAGAUACCCCAGUAGUC
rnacentral:rRNA from 1 species